rnacentral:rRNA from 1 species
AGGGAAUAUUGGUCAAUGGGCGAAAGCCUGAACCAGCCAUGCCGCGUGGAGGAUGACUGCCCUCUGGGUUGUAAACUCCUUUUAUACAGGAAGAAACCUUUGGAUUUACUCCGAAGCUGACGGUACUGUAUGAAUAAGCACCGGCUAACUCCGUGCCAGCAGCCGCGGUAAUACGGAGGGUGCAAGCGUUAUCCGGAUUCACUGGGUUUAAAGGGUGCGCAGGCGGGAAAUUAAGUCAGUGGUGAAAGCCCCGAGCUCAACUUGGGAACUGCCAUUGAUACUGAUUUUCUUGAAUAUAGUUGAAGUAGGCGGAAUACAACAUGUAGCGGUGAAAUGCAUAGAUAUGUUGUAGAACACCAAUUGCGAAGGCAGCUUACUAAGCUAUCAUUGACGCUGAGGCACGAAAGCGUGGGGAGCGAAC